rnacentral:rRNA from 1 species
AGGAGUUUUGAUCCUGGCUCAGGACGAACGCUGGCGGCGUGCCUAAUACAUGCAAGUCGAGCGGACUUGACAGAGCUUGCUCUGUUCAAGUUAGCGGCGGACGGGUGAGUAACACGUGGGCAACCUGCCCUGCAGAUUGGGAUAACUCCGGGAAACCGGGGCUAAUACCGAAUAACAUCGAAGACCUCCUGGUCUUCCUUUAAAAGACGGUUUCGGCUGUCACUGCAGGAUGGGCCCGCGGCGCAUUAGCUAGUUGGUGAGGUAACGGCUCACCAAGGCGACGAUGCGUAGCCGACCUGAGAGGGUGAUCGGCCACACUGGGACUGAGACACGGCCCAGACUCCUACGGGAGGCAGCAGUAGGGAAUCUUCCGCAAUGGACGAAAGUCUGACGGGAGCAACGCCGCGUGAGUGAUGAAGGUUUUCGGAUCGUAAAACUCUGUUGUCAGGGGAAGAACAAGUACGGGAGUAACUGCCCGUGCCUUGGACGGUACCUGGCCAGAAAGCCACGGCUUAACUACUGUGCCAGCAGCCGCGGGUAAUACGUAGGUGGCAAGCGUUGUCCGGGAUUUAUUGGGGCGUAAAGGCGCGCAGGCGGUCUUUUAAAGUCUGAUGUGGAAAGCC